UAAAUCAGUGAUAGUCUGUUUGAGUUGUGAUCCCAUCGGAUAACCGUGGGAAAUCUAGAGCUAAUACGUGCGGUAAAUUGUCGUGGUGACGUAAAGUUGCUGGUUGACAAAGCAUUUAUUCGGCGUGCCAUCGACUGUGCGUGGUUGUGAACAACAACUAUUGGCAGUGAGAGGAAUCUGGAUAACUGUGCUGAUCGCUGUGGCUGAGUGAAGCCGGCGACGUGUCAAAUGAGUUUCUGCCCUAUCAACUUGUUGGUAAGGUAUUGGCUUACCAAGGUUGCAACGGGUGACGGGGAAUCAGGGUUCGAUUCCGGAGAGGGAGCCUGAGAAACGGCUACCACAUCCAAGGAAGGCAACAGGCGCGCAAAUUACCCAAUCUAGACAGUAGGAGGUGGUGAAAAAAAUUACUAGGUGUUGAUCCAAUGGAUCAAUGGUUUGGAAUGAAGGUAACUUAAGAAAUUCGUUGAGAAACAACUGGAGGGCAAGUCCUGGUGCCAGCAGCCGCGGUAAUUCCAGCUCCAGUGGUUUGAUUAAACGUUGUUGCGUUUAAAACGCUCGUAGUUGGAGCAUGCAGUGGUGGAGUGUAAUCUGUGGUUGAUACCGAGCUAGUGUGUAUGUGUUGAUGUUUCAAUGUUUGUCUCGUACAAAUGUUGAGAGGUUGAUACAACUGGAGCGUGUGUUGAGCCAAGAUGUGAAUGCACUUGACUACUAGUUGCACGUGAAGUGAGACGUUGGCCUUGAAUGUGCCGAUGUGUCAGUUUGCGGAGUGUGCCUUGAAUAAAACAGAGUGCUUAAAGCAGGUGUUGACUGCCUGAAUGUGAUAGCAUGGAACGAACGAUCGUGUUGAUGCAUGUGUUGAUUAAGUAGUGAUGAGCCUUGGUUUGUUGAGACUUGUGUGUGACAUGUGCUGCACCCACCAAAAUAUGGUUGUUGGUUGAACAUAUGAGGUGAUGAUUAAGAGGAGCGGUUGGGGGCAUUGGUAUUUGGCCGCGAGAGGUGAAAUUCUUAGACCGGCCAAGGACUAACAAAUGCAAAGGCAGUUGUCUAGACCGUGUCCAUUGAUCAAGAACGAAAGUGGGAGGUUCGAAGACGAUCAGAUACCGUCAUAGUUCCCACUGUAAACUAUGCCGACCUGGGAUGAGUUUGCAGAUGUUGUGAUAAGCUGCAAAUUGGUCCCCCUGGGAAACCUGCAAGUUUUUCGGUUACGGGGAGAGUAUGGUCGCAAGGCUGAAACUUAAAGGAAUUGACGGAAGGGCACCACCAGGGGUGGAGCCUGCGGCUUAAUUUGACUCAACACGGGGAAACUUACCUGGUCCGGACAUCGAUAGGAUUAUCAGAUCGAUAGCUCUUAUAUGAUUCGAUGAGUGGUGGUGCAUGGCCGUUCUUAGUUCGUGGAGUGAUCUGUCGGCCUCAACGCGGUAACGUACGAGACCACAUUCUCCAUUUAAGACAUGAAAGUAGAUGUGUUGAUGUGGUGAGUGGUGAUACAUCAUGAACCAUGGUUGAUACACAUUGUUGAUAAGAAUUGAUGACUAUCAUCAUUUUUACUUGAUGAACAUUGUGUAUGUGUUGAGGCAACGAGAUACGUGUGCAGUGAACAAAAAGUGAGUGAAGAUGGUUGUUGAUGUCUGCCUUUCACUACGCAGCAGUGGGUUGCGGCCRGCUGUUGGCUUAUGGAGAGACAACGAGGUAUAAACAAGCUCGAGGAAGUGUGGCUAUAACAGGUCAGUGAUGCCCUUCGAUGUCCAGGGCUGC
rnacentral:rRNA from 1 species